AUUUCUUUCGAUGCUAGACUUCGUUAAGUUUAAAAGCUUACACUAAAUUAGAAAUGAAACAAACUUGGACUUGUAUAAUUGUUUUGGGUUCGUAGAUUUUCUAAAGAAAAAUUCAAUGGUAUGAACAAAAUAAAAAAUAUAGGAACAUGUUUUUUAAUCAUUUUUGUUCAAUCCAUCGAACAUUUUCUUAGGAGAAUCUUUUAACCUAUAAUAUUUAAACAUACAGACUGAAAUGCAAAAAUUAACCGCUUUAUAAUCUGGAGAAGCUUUUUACCUUUACGGUAAAAUACAUUCAAUACCACAAAUACUUCUGGAGUAUUACUGCUCGUUUAUAUAUACAAUCCUUCUUUUUAUAUUUAUAUUUUCUUUCGAUGUGGGACUUAUAGAAGUAGUCUCUGCACAUAGAUGAAAGCAGUACAGGUUAUGUUACUAUGUUGACGGUGGCUGAUGAUUGUGGAACUGUUGUUUGGUGUGAAAACACUCAUGACCCGGGAAUUAAGUCAUGUGAAACUCCAUUUUAUUAUAUUUUCUCUCCCUCAUUUAAUCAAACUGACACUUAUUUAAGUAUAUUUUUUACACCGUGUCACCAAAAUUGUUAUUUGAGUUUGAUAUCAUACCAAAAUAAUUACAAUUUACUCAUCUAUUGUCCAA
rnacentral:lncRNA from 1 species